UUCCGGUUGAUCCUGCCGGAGGCUACCGCUAUUGGAGUUCGAUUAAGCCAUGCGAGUCGCGAGUCUUAGGGACUCGGCGUACCGCUCAGUAACACGUGGGUAACCUGCCCUAUGCUGGGGGAUAACCUCGGGAAACUGAGAAUAAUACCCCAUAGUUCACCACGCCUGGAACGGUGGGUGGACCAAAGCUCCGGCGGCAUAGGAUGGGCCUGCGGCGUAUCAGGUGUAGGGGGUGUAAUGUACCCUCUAGCCCUCUACGCGUACGGGUGUUGAGAGACAUCGCCCGGAGAUGGAUUCUGAGACACGAAUCCAGACCCCACGGGGUGCAGCAGGCGCGAAAACUUGGCAAUGCGAGAAAUCGUGACCAGGGAACUCCAAGUGCAUCGGGUAAGACCGAUGCUUUUCUUGACUCUUCAAAGGUCUUGGAAUAAGGGGUGGGUAAGGACGGUGCCAGCCGCCGCGGUAAUACCGGCGCCCCAAGUGGUAGUCGCUUUUAUUGGGCCUAAAACGUCCGUAGCCGGUCUGGUACAUUCGUGGGUAAAUCAACCAGCUCAACUGGUUGAAUUCUGCGAGCACGGCCAGACUUGGGACCGGGAGAGGUGUGGGGUACUCUCAGGGUAGGGGUAAAAUCCUGUCAUCCUGAGAGGACCACCUGUUGCGAAGGCGCCACACUAGAACGGAUCCGACGGUCAGGGACGAAGCCUAGGGGCACGAACCGGAUUAGAUACCCGGGUAGUCCUAGGUGUAAACGCUGUGGACUUGAUGUUGGGGGCGCUCCGAGCGCACUCAGUGUCGAAGCGAAGGUGAUAAGUCCACUGCCUGGGGAGUACGGUCGCAAGGCUGAAACUUAAAGGAAUUGGCGGGGGAGCACCGCAACCUGAGGAUUGUGCGGUUUAAUUGGAUUCAACGCCGGA
rnacentral:rRNA from 1 species